AGCGAACGCUGGCGGCAGGCCUAACACAUGCAAGUCGAACGGAUCCUUCGGGAUUAGUGGCGGACGGGUGAGUAACACGUGGGAACGUGCCCUUUGGUUCGGAACAACUCAGGGAAACUUGAGCUAAUACCGGAUGUGCCCUUCGGGGGAAAGAUUUAUCGCCAUGGAGCGGCCCGCGUCUGAUUAGCUAGUUGGUGAGGUAACGGCCCACCAAGGCGACGAUCAGUAGCUGGUCUGAGAGGAUGAUCAGCCACACUGGGACUGAGACACGGCCCAGACUCCUACGGGAGGCAGCAGUGGGGAAUCUUGCGCAAUGGGCGAAAGCCUGACGCAGCCAUGCCGCGUGAAUGAUGAAGGUCUUAGGAUUGUAAAAUUCUUUCAGCGGGGACGAUAAUGACGGUACCCGCAGAAGAAGCUCCGGCUAACUUCGUG
rnacentral:rRNA from 1 species